AAGCUAUUUUAAUAUUAUACGAAUAAUGAGUAAUAUCCAAAAAGACUUGAUCUUUAAAAUAUGCGGAGUCCCAAAAACUCGGAGAAUUUGAAUGAUACAAAAUAUAGUUAUUUAUAAAGUGCCAGGUAUGACAAUUUGAAAGUAUUGCCGGGUCAAGGCCGAAAUUCAUCUUCAUAACGUCACAGAACACGGAGAAGAAUAUGAAGGCAUCUACAAAGUGGUUGAGGGUGAAACCAAUAGAUCGAUCCUUCAAAUUGUGAAUACUGAUAAGGGAUUGAAUGACUAGCAAAAUUCCAGCCGCCACCUGCGUGUAAAGUUCUAAGGUGUCUUUGCAUGCGGUUCGAGGAGUCUAAGCGGCUGUGACGAGUACUCAAUGCCGAAACCCGAAAUAAUUACAUUCAGAACGGAUAUCACGAAUAUCACCACCAAUAUGAUAUCGUUCAAGAUGACCG